rnacentral:rRNA from 1 species
AAUAGAUACCCUGGUAGUCCUGGCCGUAAACGAUGGGCACUGGGUAGGGGGCUCGCCGAUGGGCUCCCUGCCGAAGCGAAAGCGUGAAGUGCCCCGCCUGGGGAGUAUGGUCGCAAGGCUGAAACUCAAAGGAAUUGACGGGGGCUUACACAAGCGGUGGAGCAUGUGGCUUAAUUCGAGGCUACGCGCAAAACCUUAUCCCGGGCUUGACAUGCACGGAUUAGCCGGCGGAAACGUCGGUGAGGCCGCAAGGUACAACGUGCACAGGUGCUGCAUGGCUGUCGUCAGUUCGUGUCGUGAGAUGUUGGGUUAAGUCCCGUAACGAGCGAAACCCCUGUGUCCAGUUGCCAGCGCGUCAUGGCGGGGACUCUGGACAGACCGCCGGCGUGAAGCCGGAGGAAGGCGGGGACGACGUCAAGUCCUCAUGGCCCUUAUGCCCGGGGCUGCACACGUGCUACAAUGGGGCGGACAGAGCGACGCAGACGCGCAAGCGCGAGCCAAUCGCAAAAACCGCCCCCCGAGUUCGGAUCGCGGG